UACGUAGGUGGCAAGCGUUGUCCGGAUUUAUUGGGUUUAAAGGGUGCGUAGGCGGCUUUGUAAGUCAGUGGUGAAAUAUGGCAGCUCAACUGUCAAGGUGCCAUUGAUACUGCGGAGCUUGAGUACAGAUGAGGUAGGCGGAAUUCCCGGUGUAGCGGUGAAAUGCGUAGAUACUGGGAGGAACACCAGUGGCGAAGGCGGCUACCUGGACCGGUUCUGACGCUGAGGCGCGAAAGCGUGGGUAGCAAACAGG
rnacentral:rRNA from 1 species